rnacentral:rRNA from 1 species
GGCUUCACACGUCAUACAAUGGUCGGUACAGAGGGUUGCCAAGCCGCGAGGUGGAGCCAAUCCCUUAAAGACCGAUCGUAGUCCGGAUCGUAGUCUGCAACUCGACCUACGUGAAGUCGGAAUCGCUAGUAAUCGCAGAUCAGCAUGCUGCGGUGAAUACGUUCCCGGGUCCGUU